CAGAAAUACAUUAAUCCGUCUCCCUGUCAAAAAAAAUCAAAUAACUGCAAACGAAAAAGUGGAUUUUAUUUUUCGUCUGAUAUUUGCUAUAUAUAUGUACCGGGGUGGGCUGUUUUCAGGACUUUGUCGAGACUGUCUCACCAAAUCACGAUCCUAACCAUGAAUAAAUAAAGGCAACAGUAGUAUACCGCUGUUCAAACUCAUAAAUCCAUGGACAAAAAACAAAAUCGGGGUAUCAAACUAAAACUGACGGAAACGCAUAAAUAUUAGACGCUAUAUGCCAAAUCGCGUUGAAUCUACUUAAAAUUGUUGAACUUGUUUAAACACGAGUAGAUUUCCCUCUUGACUGAGGUUAUUUUGCCAAACAUGAGUGUUUGUAUAUUGUAUGGGAACGGAAUAGUUUCUAUCGUACGUUUUCGAACAAGGAAG
rnacentral:lncRNA from 1 species